AGGCGGGGGCGGGGAAGAACACGGGAAGUGUCACAAGGAGCUGGAACCUGCCCACCAUUCUCCUGGGAAUAGACCACCUCUCCUAAGGGGCUGCCAUCUAAGUGAAAACCAAACUCUAUCAGAAACAGAUUUUUAAGAUUCUGAUUGCAAGACCUCCACCUGCCAACUGAUGAAUCCUACCCUCUGGGGAAGAGACUCUGUAAUCUCUACCUUUUAAAGGACUCCCAAGUGAUCUUGGUAACCAGCUGGUUUAGACCCUAUUAUUUUAUACAUAUUUAAUUCUUAAUUGCUUAGAUUAGUUUGAAUUUAUUGCAAGCACCUGAGAAGGAUUGACUUGAUUCACAGGAUUUUUUUUUUUUUAAGUAUUUGGUAGAAAUCAACAGUGAAGCCAUCUGAUCCUGGGUUUUUCUUCGAUGGAAAGUUUUUGAAUAGUGAUUCAAUCUCUAUACCAUACCAACUAUGGAUCUGUUCACAUGCUAGAUUGCAGUGGACCCAUCUGAGCUCCAAGACUUGCAGAACUGAGAUAAAUCCUCUGGGGAACCCCUUUGGAAAGUUGGGGAGUUAGACAUGCAAAGCAACACUGUCCCUCCUCUGGGAGAAGCUAGGAGCUUCGAGGUCUCUUUCUGAUCCUAUGGCAUUAACUCAGCUUCUCUCUUACCUCAGGCAAAUGGAAAGCAAAACCUCCCAUCUAGCAAUAACGGCUGCUCCACAAGACCUCCGGCCGGCUGAGACCGCCCAAAUCAGUUUGAACAAAAGCCCAACUCAUGCCUGUGCAGAAGAACCAUGGAGUAACCUUUAGAAUGAUGGACAGCUACCUUUACCUCAUUAUAAUACUAGAAUCUCCACCCAAGGAGGAGCACAAGGCUCAUUUACAUAACAUACUAUGUGUGUGUAGGCAUGUUUCCAUAAGGCACAUACAGGACUUUAUGCCCGCCUCUAUAUACGAAGAAAAGGAUCUUCUGAAAUAGUCAUGCUAACCCUA